UGGCCUGAUUUUCGAGAUUUCUGAUUUCUA
rnacentral:piRNA from 1 species